AGUAAAUUGUGAUUUAUCCAUUGAGCUGUCGCAUUCCACAUUCCGCAGAAGAGAAAAUGUAUAUCGACAACACAGAUGACAUUUGAACACAUGUGCAGACAUACAUGGAACGGAAGAAAGUUAUCACAAUUCAGUGUACGAAACGGAAUGGGGUAAUUGUUGUAGUGCUUGUGUGAUGUACCGCUUGGAAAAUUACAAUGAGCCUGAAGAAAAACACCACCAAACAUACGAUGGUUAAAUGCAUGCUCCGAAUUCCCGAUGACGUAUACAUCUUUAUAAGUGGAUGACAUAGCAGAAUGAUGUUUCUUUAAAGAAAAACAUAACAUACAAUUCACCAAGCGUCGUUUACGUUGUGACUGUGUCGAAUUUAUUAUGUAGUUGAGUGGACAAAAAGACAUCGACGAAAGCUCAGCAAUUAUUGUCAAAGAUAACUGAAUCAUCUUGCAACGUGUCUUGAAAAUAAAAAGAGGACAACCGCGAAGCAUCUGGACGUAAAUACGUGAGAUUUACCUUACCGGAAAGUGCGGUUACUCAAUAUUAGGCAUUAUUA